UACGGAGGGUGCGAGCGUUGUCCGGAAUUAUUGGGCGUAAAGAGCUCGUAGGCGGUGUGUCACGUCGUUCGUGAAAACCUGCAGCUUAACUGUGGGCGUGCGGUCGAUACGGGCAUCACUGGAGUUCGGCAGGGGAGACUGGAAUUCCUGGUGUAGCGGUGAAAUGCGCAGAUAUCAGGAGGAACACCGGUGGCGAAGGCGGGUCUCUGGGCCGAUACUGACGCUGAGGAGCGAAAGCUAGGGGAGCGAACAGG
rnacentral:rRNA from 1 species